rnacentral:rRNA from 1 species
GUCGAACGCGAAACCUUCCUUCGGGAGGGGAGUAGAGUGGCGCACGGGUGAGUAACACGUAGGUAAUUUGCCUUCGGGUGGGGAAUAACAGCCGGAAACGGCUGCUAAUACCGCAUAAUGCAGCGGCUCGACAUCGAGACAGUUGUUAAAGCGGGGGAUCGCAAGACCUCGCGCCUGAAGAGAAGCCUGCGGCGGAUUAGCUUGUUGGUAGGGUAAUGGCCUGCCAAGGCGACGAUCCGUAACCGGCCUGAGAGGGCGGUCGGUCACACUGACACUGACAUACGGGUCAGACUCCUACGGGAGGCAGCAGUCGGGAAUUUUGGGCAAUGGGCGAAAGCCUGACCCAGCAACGCCGCGUGAAGGAUGAAAUCCCUCGGGAUGUAAACUUCGCAAGAAUGGGAAGAAUAAGUGCGGGCUAAUACCACGCACGAUGACGGUACCAUUUGUAAGCUCCGGCUAACUCCGUGCCAGCAGCCGCGGUAAUACGGGGGGAGCAAGCGUUGUUCGGAUUUACUGGGCGUAAAGGGCGCGUAGGCGGCCACGACAAGUCACUUGUGAAAUCUCCGGGCUUAACUCGGAACGGUCAAGUGAUACUGUCGGGCUAGAGUGCAGAAGGGGCAACUGGAAUUCUCGGUGUAGCGGUGAAAUGCGUAGAUAUCGAGAGGAACACCUGCGGCGAAGGCGGGUUGCUGGGCUGACACUGACGCUGAGGCGCGAAAGCCAGGGGAGCGAACGGGAUUAGAUACCCCGGUAGUCCUGGCCUUAAACGAUGAAUGCUUGGUGUCUCGGGU